rnacentral:lncRNA from 12 species
CUGGGGUUGUUACGCAGCAACGGUUAGUGAAGAUAGAGACUCUCCAGGGGUGCAAACCCCACAUCUUCGAUGUUAGUGUCCCUCCUCCCACGGAGGCCGCCGGUGGCAGAGGCCCGGCAAGGGGCUGCCUCCCAUCUGCAUUUUGUAGAAGACACAGACACCCCAGGGCCCCUGGGGGCUCCUACACCUGUAAAAACAAAAACAGGAAGAGAACGGAUGCUAAGCCCUGUUUUAUUCCGGAGGGACAGAGUUUAUCCUUGCCCUUCUGGCCUGACCUCUCGCUUGCUUGGAUUCUGGUCCCCUGAGCCGAUCUGCUAAAGCUCCUCUUCGCUGCUGGGCGUGGGGAGAGAAUGGAGAUGAAGACGCACAGGCCCAAGCUGCUGGGUGCGCACUUUCCAGUAGGUGCCUUCCAGGCACCCGACGGUUGUCACCAAGUGCAGAGGUACUGAGGCACAGCUGUGCCAGGACCUUCACUUACACAGCCAAACACCCUUCUUCAAAAUAAAGAACAAACCACUCUGUUGCCGAGGCA